rnacentral:lncRNA from 1 species
GUGUAAAAUCAGCAAAAAUUAUGAUGCUGAGUAUUUCUUUAUUUACUUUUCUUCAUUCUUGAUUCUAUAUUUAUGAUGUUUGUUAUGUUAUAUUACAGCUGCAAUUGCCCUGGAGCCAAAGAAAAAAUGGGAUAGGAAAAUAUAUACAUAAAUAUUCCACUCUUGUGUUUUUUUUAUUGAUAAAUGAUUUCGCUGGUUUUUUUCAAAGGUCUUGACAUAUUUUUAUUUAUUUUUCAGGUUUCUGCAGAAUAAGAAGACAAGAUAACCUGUGGUGGUUUUUAUUUAGAGACAUUUCAUGUGAGACUGUUUCCAAAUAUGGUGAAAUAAUAAUAAAAUUAAUUAUUACCUCCCCUUUUAUUUCUUUAUUUUGAUAUGAAAGACAUUACUUUUUAUGAACCAAAUUGCUCUGAAAAGGUUCACCUAUUACAUUC